rnacentral:rRNA from 1 species
UACGUAGGCAGCGAGCGUUGUUCGGAGUUACUGGGCGUAAAGAGUGCGUAGGCGGUGGCCUAAGUCUGGUGUGAAAUCUCCCGGCUCAACUGGGAGGGUGCGCCGGAAACUGGGUUGCUCGAGUGUGGGAGAGGCAAGCGGAAUUCCUGGUGUAGCGGUGAAAUGCGUAGAUAUCAGGAGGAACACCUGCGGUGUAGACGGCUUGCUGGACCAUGACUGACGCUGAGGCACGAAAGCGUGGGGAGCAAACAGG